rnacentral:tRNA from 1 species
GCAGGGGUUCCCGAGCGGUCAAAGGGGCAGGACUUAAGAUCCUGUGGCUUAGUGCCUUCGAGAGUUCGAAUCUCUCCCCCUGCA